rnacentral:rRNA from 1 species
CCGCCUGGGGAGUACGGCCGCAAGGUUAAAACUCAAAUGAAUUGACGGGGGCCCGCACAAGCGGUGGAGCAUGUGGUUUAAUUCGAUGCAACGCGAAAAACCUUACCUGGUCUUGACAUCCACAGAACUUUCCAGAGAUGGAUUGGUGCCUUCGGGAACUGUGAGACAGGUGCUGCAUGGCUGUCGUCAGCUCGUGUUGUGAAAUGUUGGGUUAAGUCCCGCAACGAGCGCAACCCUUAUCCUUUGUUGCCAGCGGUUAGGCCGGGAACUCAAAGGAGACUGCCAGUGAUAAACUGGAGGAAGGUGGGGAUGACGUCAAGUCAUCAUGGCCCUUACGACCAGGGCUACACACGUGCUACAAUGGCGCAUACAAAGAGAAGCGACCUCGCGAGAGCAAGCGGACCUCAUAAAGUGCGUCGUAGUCCGGAUUGGAGUCUGCAACUCGACUCCAUGAAGUCGGAAUCGCUAGUAAUCGUACAUCAGAAUGCUACGGUGAAUACGUUCCCGGGCCUUGUACACACCGCCCGUCACACCAUGGGAGUGGGUUGCAAAAGAAGUAGGUAGCUUAACCUUCGGGAGGGCGCUUACCACUUUGUGAUUCAUGACUGGGGUGAAGUCGUACAAGGUAACCAACA